GAUGAACGCUGGCGGCGUGCCUAAUACAUGCAAGUCGAGCGAACAGACGAGGAGCUUGCUCCUCUGACGUUAGCGGCGGACGGGUGAGUAACACGUGGAUAACCUACCUAUAAGACUGGGAUAACUUCGGGAAACCGGAGCUAAUACCGGAUAAUAUAUUGAACCGCAUGGUUCAAUAGUGAAAGACGGUUUUGCUGUCACUUAUAGAUGGAUCCGCGCCGCAUUAGCUAGUUGGUAAGGUAACGGCUUACCAAGGCAACGAUGCAUAGCCGACCUGAGAGGGUGAUCGGCCACACUGGAACUGAGACACGGUCCAGACUCCUACGGGAGGCAGCAGUAGGGAAUCUUCCGCAAAGGGCGAAAGCCUGACGGAGCAACGCCGCGUGAGUGAUGAAGGUCUUCGGAUCGUAAAACUCUGUUAUUAGGGAAGAACAUAUGUGUAAGUAACUGUGCACAUCUUGACGGUACCUAAUCAGAAAGCCACGGCUAACUACGUG
rnacentral:rRNA from 1 species